UCCAGCCUCUCUCCCUCUUGCCCGAACCCUAGAGCUCCGCUCCUCCUUGCCGCCGCCACCUCCACCUCCCUUUUCCCGAUCCAGACCCAGCCACCACCCAUGGCGCCAGCCAGAGCAGCCACCGGCGAGGCUAGAGGCCACCGGAUCCGGGAUCAGGGCGGCGCAUAGCCCCUCCUCCCGUGAGAUCCGGGACGCAGUCGCCCAUCUGGAUCAAGCAGGCCAUUGCACCAUCUCCACCGUCCGGAUUUGGUGCUCCUCGCGCGACCCACCCCCCAGCACGCGUCUCCACCGUCUCUUCCCCUACGUCCUUGGCGAGGGAAUGAAUAGGAGCUCCGGCCAAGGCCAUGGACGCCACCAGCAGAAGCUCCGCCUCGGAUCUUGCGACCUCGUCGACCGGAUCCAGCAGGUCCCUGCCACUGUGCCAAGAUCCUCCCCUCCCUCCUAGAGAGGCCCUCUCUCCCACACGCUCUGCAUCCGCUACGGCCGUUGCAGCUUCCACCUCCAGAAGAGCACCUGCUCCUCGUGCGGUUACCCGGCCGCCCGCAUCCGCGAGUAGAGAUCGACGAUCGGCUGGGCAGUGUUAGCGCUAAACCUUCAUGCGUACUCACUCUGCUGCAAGCUUUAAUAAUCUUGAUUGAUGCAAACGCCACUGUAUGCAUGCGAAUUUUCAUUUGCAGAUGCUUUCACUUCACCCUUUUCUUUUCGUUUCUUUUCUCUCGAAACAAGGAAAGGAUUUAUUCUAACGGCCAUCUCUAUUUUAGCCUUUUAGGACUCUUAUUAAUUAACAUGCCUACUCUUCUCUAUGGUUUAAGGCCAGUCGAUUCACACUGCAUACAUGCAUAGCUAGCUUCCUCAUCUCCAGUCAAUGAGUUUGCGUUGAUUCGGGUCUUCUCUUCUCCUGGUGAUCAAAAUCAACACCGCACCCUUCCGUUCCUAUCUUAUUUACUAGUUCCCUUUCGUUUCUGUUCCUGCCAUAAUUAGUGUGGUAAACUGGUAAUCAGCUAGCUCGGUGGUCACCAGAGUACGUACUAUUUUAUUUACUAGUACUUUGCCUUGGAUUGUAAUGUGGAUCAGGAGAUGAACUGUAUAUUUUGUUUGUGUCAUGCAUGGUUGUGUCAUACAUGUAUUGACUGAACUUGACAAAAUGUGCAAUUUGAAUCUAGUACUUCUUCCAUUUCUGCUUUCCCCCAACCGUCCAUAAGAUUUAUCUAGGGUUUAAGCUGUUUUGUUUAGUUUGCUUGCGCUGCCUGAAAUGAUGCACUAAUUCUGUAUCUUAUCCUUGUGCUGGAUGGUGGACCUGUCAACGUAUUGACUUGAGUGACGACAGAUGCGGUAUUGUUUAGAUGGGUGGUUUGAAUAGUUCGUCCAGAGAAAAUUUUUUAUAGAAUAGAGAUUUGGCGAAAUAUGGUGCUUGUUUAUUGUUGUGAUGGAUACAUCCAAGACAAUUAUUGUGGCUUCAUCAGUGGGGUGUAUUUUUGUUUCAUUCAAUGUCUGAUCUGAUUAUAAACAUAACCACAUGACGUAUUUAGAUGGGUGUAUUUAGUGGGGUGUAUUUAGACGGGUGUAUAAAAAAUGAUUUGAUCUUCUCUUCCUUGGUUUCCUGAUGCGCUCCUAUUCCACAACCACAGGGAUGGCACAUCGAUUGGGGACGAGCAGGAUGGGGCCAACAAGCCUAGGAGGAGGAGGAGCUCCAUCCGCAGCAGCUCAUGCUCAUGGAGGAACAAGUCUGAAUCGUUGUUGUUACUCUGCUGUCCUGGAGUCACCAUCCACAGCAGCCGUGGUGUGGCUGAGCCUCUGCUACGGCUACAACCUCCCUCUGGUGAGCUCCUCCCUAUUCCUUCUUCUCUGAUGUAGCUCCUACAUGGCCUUGGCCAUGAUUUGGGUUGGAUGUGGGGCUCUACUAGUUGCUGCUAGAUGUUGUAACCAAGCAUCAACUCCUACUGGAGCUCUCUGGUGAUAAAUUCAUGCGGUUCUAGGGUCUGUCAGUAGCUGCCCAUGUGUACUUGCUUUAUAUAUGUGCUCCUAUGAUGCUCUGGUGAUAUGGGGUGGCUAAUAUCAAGAUCAUGUUCGUGUUGAUGCUUAUCUUGCGUGUCUCUGGUGAUGGUGGUGUUGACAGCAGUUACACACCUAGCUUGUAACUAAUAUCAAUACUGCUAAUUUACCUCAAGUUUAUCUAAACAUGGUUGAAAUGAGCGCUGCAAAUUUUGAUGUCUAAAAUCAAUUUUUACCCCAAGCCCUUAAGUAAUUAUUUUCAUUACAUCAUAGUUAGUUGAGAAUAUUGACUUGAAUAUUUUAUGUAUGCCCUGAUGCAUGUACACAUACGGUUGAGCAAAUACCGAGCUGCAGUGGAACAACCUGGAGUUAGAGAACUUCAAGGAAAAGAUCAACGAGGUGACCGGCGUUAUGGCGGCUGUGUACGGUGGCGACCACAAGUUCUUCGGUGAGCUUGCAGUGUCCAUAUUGUGUCAUAUACGAUGUUGCUCCAUUGUGCAUCUCUCUUUUCUUGUGUGCUGCAUCAUUGUUGCUUGAUAGAGUAAAUGAUUUCAGUUCUGGUUGUGUUAAAUCUUUACUAUGUACCCUUAGUGUUUACUAAACUGAGGCAUUGCGCAUUGGAAUUUAGGCAUUUAUGUAUAAUUUUAGUUUUGGAUGUGUCCAAUGCAAACAUUAUUGUCAACUGUCAAGUUGAUUCUAAAAUGUCUCAUUAACUUCAUUAUUCUGUUAUUUAUUGUUAAAUAUGCUGUUAGAUUUACUUCUAUUUUGUUCCUAAACAUUUUGUUCUGUAACAUGCACAUGCUGGGCUUUCAUGUUUCUUUGUGAGCAUCAGGACAAAGAAGUCGAAGGAAGAAUAGUUCUAGCUCAUUGGAGCUAGUUCUGAGAGUAAUGAAGCCCUUUCUGCUGCUCCUAAUUGUAUGUGUGUUAUAUGAUGUAGCAGAAUCUGGCUCAUGUGAUUGUACACUUGUGGAGCUUGUUAUCUGAUUGUAAACUUGAUGCUGAUCACAUUUGUAUGUGUGUUAUAUGAUGUAACGCUAUGAUGGUUGAUAGUAUUUGAAGUAUUUCGUGUGUUCUGCGUGCCAAUUUAAAUUAUAGGUAUUUAUUUGCGUUAAAUUAAAAAAUUGAAGAAUAUUGCCUUGAUGGCUAGGACCCAGUACUAGAA